rnacentral:lncRNA from 1 species
UUGUGGAAGAAAAAGGUGUGAGGUUUGGACUUAUAUUCUAAAAGACGGUAAUUUUGAAGAUUUUCAAAUAUUUUGGAACGUUUGUCAAAUUUUUGGAGAAGACGAAUGUGACCGUUUUCGUUCUCAUAAAGAGUUUGAAAUCGGUUAGACUUAAAGAUAAAGGGGUUCUCUUGAUCGGAUCUAGAAGAGACACAAACUGAGGCUAGGAAAGCAAUUGCCAACAACAUUAACGGUUUGAUUGGAGUAGCAGCCAUAUUGAUUUGGAUUAAUGUGUUACUCUGCUUACUAUAGAUGAAGAGAUGAUGGAGUACACUGAAAUGAGUGAGUAUUUAUAACAAAUGAAUUAAAGCUAUAAGAUUACCAUGCACCAGCAUUUGGCCAUAGUUUGCCAUGCAUGUUGACUAGUGUAGAAAUGAACAAAAUUGAGGUGGCUAAUUAAAAUGAAAAGAACCGUAUAUGGUAAUGAACAUGGGUGGUGGAUUUUGUUUGUA